rnacentral:rRNA from 1 species
AACAAACGCUGGCGGCGUGCCUAAUACAUGCAAGUCAAACGAGGAAAGGGUUCGCCCAAGUACUAGUGGCGCACGGGUGAGGAAUACAUGGAUAAUCUGCCUCAAAGAGGGGGAUAACCGUCCGAAAGGAUGGCUAAUACCGCAUAAGACCACAGGAUCUGCGGAUCCAGGGGUUAAAGGUUUUUCGCUUUGAGAUGAGUCCAUGUGGGAUUAGCUAGUUGGUAGGGUAAUGGCCUACCAAGGCAAUGAUCCCUAGCUGGUCUGAGAGGAUGAUCAGCCACACUGGAACUGAGACACGGUCCAGACUCCUACGGGAGGCAGCAGUAGGGAAUAUUGCGCAAUGGAGGAAACUCUGACGCAGCGACGCCGCGUGAGUGAUGAAGGCCUUGGGUCGUAAAGCUCUGUCGCAGGGGAAUAAAAAAAUAGAAGGUACCCUGUAAGAAAGGAUACGGCUAACUUCGUGCCAGCAGCCGCGGUAAU